GGGCCCGCACAAGCGGUGGAGUAUGUGGUUUAAUUCGAUGCAACGCGAAGAACCUUACCAGGGUUUGACAUCCUGCGAAUCUCUUGGAAACUUGAGAGUGCCUUCGGGAGCGCAGUGACAGGUGGUGCAUGGCUGUCGUCAGCUCGUGUCGUGAGAUGUUGGUUAAGUCCCGCAACGAGCGCAACCCACGUCUUUAGUUGCCAGCAUUUAGUUGGGCACUCUAGAGAGACCGCCGGUGAUAAACCGGAGGAAGGUGUGGAUGACGUCAAGUCAUCAUGCCCCUUACGGGUUGGGCUACACACGUGCUACAAUGGUAGUGACAAUGGGUUAAUCCCAAAAAUGCUAUCUCAGU
rnacentral:rRNA from 1 species